GGCAGUGUAGCCCAGUGGUUAAGAAACAGGGCUCAUAACCCAAAGGUUGCUGGUUCAAUUCCCCACUGUUG